CUACGGGUGGCUGCAGUGAGGAAUAUUGCGCAAUGGACGAAAGUCUGACGCAGCAACGCCGCGUGCGGGAUGAAGGCCUUAUGGGUCGUAAACCGCUGUAGCAGGGGAAAAAUAUCCCGGUCUCCGGGAUUGAUGGUACCCUGAAAGUAAGCCUCGGCUAACUACGUGCCAGCAGCCGCGGUAAUACGUAGGAGGCGAGCGUUGUCCGGAUUUACUGGGUGUAAAGGGUCCGCAGGCGGGCUUUUAAGUCGGUGGUGAAAUCCUACAGCUUAACUGUAGAACUGCCUCCGAUACUGAAAGUCUUGAAGUCGGGAGAGGGUAACGGAAUUCCAGGUGUAGCGGUGAAAUGCUUAGAUAUCUGGAAGAACACCGGUUGCGAAGGCUGUUGCCUGGCCCGAAAUUGACGCUCAUGGACGAAAGCGUGGGGAUCAAACAGGAUUAGAUACCCGCGUAGUC
rnacentral:rRNA from 1 species